CGUAGCGCAGCCGGUGGAUCGAGUCGAUGGCCAGCACCAUUUCGGCCAGGUAGAAUUUGGCCAUGUCCUCGGGCAAACGAUCCUCGAAUUUGGACAGGAGCGUCAACAAGUCACCACCGCAGUAAUAAUCCAUCACCAGUUUCUGCUGUUUGCUUUCCGGCUGGAACAGAAAGGUCUUCAAACUUUGGAGGCAGUACAUCCUCCUAUGCCGUUUGUAGUAAAACUGUUUACUAGUUGUAUGUGCGUGUACCGUUUUUCUCGUCAUCCGAAACCCCGCACCAAAAGAAUUUCUCUGCCAUUUCUUUACCCCCCAUUUUUUUUUUUCCUGUGACGACAACCGCAAACGAACACAAGCAACCAGCAGGAAGUGGCCGACCGACAAUUCAAGCGUUACGACAAGAAAAUUCAAAUUAUCUCAUCAAACGCGGCCAGCCCAGACAACCACCACCUCCCCUUCUCAUUACAAGGAGGUGUGUGUAUCUGUGUGCGUGUGUGCUAUUCGAUCUCUGCGCACAUCGAAUCGACACCUCCCAACAGAAAUUCGAAACACACAAAAGAAAGAAAGAAAGAAAACGUUCUUUGGCCAUUUUCGCUUUUUUCUCUUCUUCUGGGAUAAAGACGUCACUAUGGAAAGGGAAAGUUUUGGGAAGGAGAUCUGAAAUGAUCGAGCCGGUCUUCGUCUGAAGGAAAUACCUGGGCAGGAUGCCAGGCCAAAAGAAAAAGAUAUUCUUAUUAUAAGGACAAGGACACGAGAGAAAAAAAAAAGAAAAACGGGAAAAAGGAGGGGGGGGCAACAACAAAAAAAAAUGCGAUAUUAUCAAAAGGCCUUAGUUAUACCAGAUUGUUUUCGUCCUGGAAGGCGUAGUGAAGGUCAGUGAUCCACCGUCGAUCCCCGCGGACAAGGACAUCGCGCUCUUCGUGGAAACAGGCGGCUUCGGCCCGUUUCAACAUCACCCACUUGUUGAGGAUCUUCAUGGCGUAGACGCGCUCCGUGUGCCGCAACUUGACGACGCACACCUCACCAAACGCUCCCCGGCCAAUCACUUUGAUGAGCUCAAAGUCAUCGCGUGUCAGUCGAAGGCUCUUGAUCUGACUCACGCUCGGUUUCACUGCGACAAACGACAAGAAGAAUACGGAAUAAAUGAAAACAGUCGAUUUUAUCCCCCCCACCCACCCACCCACUAAAUGCAACAACAAUAACUUAGACUUUAUCAAAAAGAGGGGGUAUGGAAAGGAGGAAGUGUUUUGCAUAUGUUCGUCGGGGUAUUUCCGAAGGAAAUAAAAUUCGUGUAGCGAAAGACAGGGGCGGAUAAAGCCGGUGAUGACUUCCGCAGCCCUUUGCUUGUCGUCUCUGUUGUUCGUACACGAACAACAAACAACAACAACAAUGUGUAGGCAUAAUGGAGUAUAUUACCACCCAGCUAUCACGGUCCAACUACUAUUUCCGACGCCGUUAAGUCAAAAAUAACACGUACACCACCAUCACCCACAGCAUCUACCCCCUUUGUUUAUCCCUCCUCCACCUCCUCUUCCCCUCCUCUUGUUUCUUUUUUUAAACACAAUUCGUUACCCGUGGCAAAUAAAAAAUUGUCGGCUCCAAA
rnacentral:lncRNA from 1 species